GCGCUACCACCAGGCAGGGCCCAAAGGCUGCAGCUGUGUUGCAUCAUCACUUUUGCCUGUGGUUGUGCCUUCUUGCACCUCUGAUGUCGGUCUGCUCUUCAGCAGUCUGCAGCAUUUAUUUACUUUUCCUCCGUGCUGCUCUCAGCUUGGUGGUGUGUGGCCUGUGGUUUGCUGUUUCUUGCUUCAGAACCGUCAACAUCAAGAGUUUUCUGAACUGCAGAUGCUGCCCCCCAGGAUGGCUCCCAGUAGGGACACCAAGGAUAACAACUUGAGGAAGUUCCAGGGAAGACUACUCAGCCAGAGCCAAAUCACCCCCUGGGAUGUGAGCGCUGAGCACGGGGAGAGAGGAGUAAGGAAGGAGAAGAGGAAGGGGCCUUUGCUUGGACAUUUCUGCCGGGAAUCGGGAGGGAGCACUGCUGACACACUGUGAAACAUGGUCUGGAAGCCUUCAAAGGAUUCAAAGAGGUUAAAGGCUGCUCCACGGAAAGGCCAGCAGCCUUUCCUGUGAGACGAGAGCAGCCCCAGCUCCUGCUCAUCCUUCUCAUCACAGAGGAGUUUCAGAAGUGGCUGUCAUUGCACAGAAGCAGAUAUCUGAUUGUGGGAGCUUUUAAUUAACAACAGCACAACCAAACCCACCAACGGGA
rnacentral:lncRNA from 1 species